CCUGUGGUAAAGAAAAGGCUAAGAUUAGUGUCCAUAUGUUGUUUUGUCCCCAGUGAGUACCUCUCUUAACCUAUUUUAAUCUCCUAAUAAAUCGCACUUUCGAAAACUUAAACACGAAGGCGCGGUAUAAAAGGGUGCUUCCACUGUAAGCAUCGGCUCAUUUGUCAAUCAACCGCCGUGGAGUGAGGAUCAAAUUCAAGAUGGCGGCACGAGUCAAGUACAAAACACAGAGGGGAGAGGUUUCAAAGCGCUUCCUGAUGUAUAAAAAUGCCAACUCUACCUUCUUGUCCGAUAGAAUGUGUAAAAAAGAAAACUCAGUAGAAGUAAAGCUACGAAACCAACGUGAUUUAUACAAAAAAGGAGCAAACGCAUGAUCGGAAAACAACGAUUUCAAACCUCGACAAAAGCUAUUCCCAAGUCAUGGUGACAUCUGAAUAAUCAGCAAGAUAUAUUCCUCAAGAAAAAGCAGAUACAAAGACAUGUAUUACAUUUUCCAUGUGAUUUUAAAUCAUAAACAUUAUUUUAUAAAGGAAACAUGUUUUGUUGCUAUAAGAUUGAUUGAUGUGCUAGUGAAGUGUAUAAAGCAACCAGUCAUAUUUUAUAGACUGCAUUAUAGAUUAUAAUUUUGAAUAAACCAAAAAGCUUUCUCUUUUAUCCAUUCAGUUCAAGACUUCUCAUUCUUACAGUAAAUGCAAGUAUAGAUACAGGGAGGAUAUCCAUUGAAUGAAAACAGUAAAAGUCAUUUCUCUAUUUUGUAUUAUUAACUUAUAAUUAACUUAAAGUAUAAAACAUAUGUUUGGGUAAACCCUUUAUAAAACUAAGGAUCCAGACCGGUUUUGGGCAAAUAGAAACAAAAGCUAAUUCAAUUGUUAUUAUUUCUACAUUAUUUGUAGUCAUCAUAGAUUGGAAGAUAAAAACAAAAUACUAUACAGGUGCAUUCUGAUCCAAAAAGUAGAAAGAUAGACUCAAUUAUGGCUCAAUCUCACUUAGAUGGAUAUCAGGCAUUUCUUUAGUAGCCCUUCAGUUUUUUGGUGUACAUAUAUGUGUGGGUAUAUAAGCUGAUACAUUGUACAAAGGGUUAUCUGCUGUUUCUGUGAGCCAGUUUGCACUAUAAAAAUUAUUGAAACAAAUGUUUUCUUUAUAUUGUAUACCACUCCCUUGUUUUGUACAGUUUCUGUGAGCCAGAUUUGCACUAUAAAAACAAAUAUUGAAACAAAUGUUUUCUUUUAUUGUAUACCAAUUCCUUUGUUCUGUACAGGCAAAUAGUAAGUUUGCAUUUUAUUGGGAUGGUACUAAGCCCUUCUUUUAACCCUACAUCUGAUAAAUUAGCACAAGGGCACAAUGGUCUAAUGACCAAGUGCUUUCCUAGAAAUCAAAUUGACUGCACUAUGCUCCCUAUUCAAACAGGUGUACCUAGUACUCUGUUUAGUAUACUUAUAAAUGACAGGGUGAGGGUAAGUUGACAAAUUUCCUUAGCCUUUCUUUAUGUUCUGGAUCAAGAAGUCUGGUACUAACAGCAGGAUGGCACCAGAGAAAGGACCCAAGGUAAUGACCACCCUAGAUAAUGUAAUAUCAGAGUUUCACUUGCACACUCCCUGGAUACCGCUGAAAUAUCCUUUGAAACUGGGGUCAUUUGCCGUAGCCUGAUCAUGGUAACAUGUAUUGAUCAACUAUUAAAUUUGGUAAAAAGAUAAUAAAGACAAAUUGACUUUCUCGUCAAAGUCAACUGGGGGUUCAACAUUCCCUGACCUGCCCACCACACCAAAUUUUCUUCCUGCUCAGGUAAAUGUCAAAACACUUAAUGGAUUUUUGGUUAAUUCUUGAACAGAUGUACAACAGCAGAUAGGCACACUUUGCAUUUUUGUUUUACACCUGUUGCAGCAACAA